GACGAACGCUGGCGGCGUGCUUAACACAUGCAAGUCGAACGGAAAGGCCACUUUGGGGGUACUCGAGUGGUGAACGGGUGCGUAACACGUGAGUAACCUGCCCUUGACUUCGGGAUAACUUCAGGUAACUGGGGCUAAUACCGGAUAGGAAUAAUUGUUGCAUGGUGGGGGUUGGAAAGCUUCGGCGGGUCUGGAUGGACUCGCGGCAUAUCAGCUUGCUGGUGGGGUAGUGGCUUACCGAGGCUUCGAAGGGUAGCGGGACUGAGUGGGCGACCGGCCACAUUGAGUCUGAGAUACGGCCGAGACACCUACGGGAGGGAGCAGUGGGGAAGAUUGCAGAAUGGGCGGAGGCCUGAUGCAGCAACGCCGCGGGCGGGAUGACGGCGUUCGGGUUGUAAACCGCUUUCAGCAGGGGCGGAGCUUAUGGUGACGGUACCUGCAGAAGAAGCACCGGCUAACUACGUG
rnacentral:rRNA from 1 species